rnacentral:rRNA from 1 species
UACAGAGGGUGCGAGCGUUAAUCGGAAUUACUGGGCGUAAAGCGUGCGUAGACGGUUAUGUAAGUCAGAUGUGAAAGCCCCGGGCUCAACCUGGGAAUUGCAUUUGAGACUGCAUAGCUAGGAUGCGGAAGAGGGAAGUGGAAUUUCCGGUGUAGCGGUGAAAUGCGUAGAUAUCGGAAGGAACAUCAGUGGCGAAAGCGACUUCCUGGUCCAGCAUCGACGUUCAGGCACGAAAGCGUGGGGAGCAAACAGGAUUAGAUACCCUGGUAGUCCACGCCAUAAACGAUGAGAACUAGACGUUGAGAGGGUAAGCCUCCCAGUGUCGUAGCUAACGCGCUAAGUUCUCCGCCUGGGGAGUACGGCCGCAAGGUUGAA